CUUGACUUCAACUUUUUGAGCCUUGAUUUCUUCAUAUUAAACUGUGAAUCAGACAACGACAAUCACUGAACACGGAUGUCUAUGGUGUCAGAGAACCAGCCUAACGGUGCCAUAGGCAAGAGGACCCCUCACGGAGUCACGGAGCCUGACUCUGGGGUGAGACCAUCCCGAGAUUACUUUAGAAGCUCAGCAAGCUCCGCCUUCCAGCGUGGCCCUCUCCCGUCAUCACCACCUGGGUCCAAGGGUCCUGGCACAGCUCAGCAGGCAGCUGACAGCCCCCGUCCUCAACUGCCCUUCCCCUCUCACUGUCCUCUGUCCCAAAGAUCGGCCUUUUGGGCUUUUAUUUGACUUAGAAUUUUCUCUGUCUCUCUCUAAACCAAAUCUUCUUCCUUUGAGGCCAAAUCAUUGCCUCCUCUCAGCCCUCCUGGAUUUAACAUAUCUUCUCAUUUUCUGUAUUCUUGGUCCUCCAGCAGCUGGAGUCUUGCUGACCAGGAGGCACUGCUCUUCCUAGGACGAGCUAAUCCGUGGAGAUAGCACACGGCCCACCCAGGGGCGUGCUAUUUGUAUGCAAAGUAGCUGAUCCAGCCCCCUCCUCCUCUAUGAGGCUUCCACACUCCAGGCCUGUAUUUCUUUGCCCUGAUCACCCCAGGGCCAGUCACUCCACAGACUCUGGCCAUGUUUUGCACUCUCCCUCUGCCUCCUGGCCGCCCCCGAUGCUUCCCCCAGUGGCCCUGCAGGGCACGCUCCCUCCUCCUGAGAACUACCAGCAGCUUUGCGGAAGGAUGAGAUUCUGAGCUUUUCACGAGGUCCGCUGUUUCAAGGAACACACUCCGAGGUGGAACAACAGUGUAGACACACAGUUUUCUUUCCCAAGAAAGGGUUGGUGUGGAGACCUUGCUCCACGGAGUUGGAAGGGACCCAGGCAAGUUCCAUAUUGCAGCUCCAUCAUGGAACCUGCACUCACUCAGUUACCUUAGAGUUCAGAAUGGCUGCUGAAGAUCCUGCCAUUGUGUCCACAUCCAACCAGCAGAGAGGCGGGAAAGGUGAAGAGGCAGAGACAAGGCUGCCACUCAGUUGUCACUUAAGGGAGGCUGUAAGCAGCUGUUUGCAUGACCCUUUGGGGUUCAAACCGUUACUCAUCACAGCCAACAGACGCUGGGGAACGUUGUCUUUGUUAGAGGGGUUAGGCGCCCCAGCUAACAGCUGUUCGUUCUUUAACUAUGCAGACAGGGUACAUGGAUACCAGGGGAAGCCAGGAGUUGGUGUGGGUUUCUGAGGGUGUAGGAAGAUGUCAAGCAUUUGUACUGGAUAUGAAUGCCAUUAAUAUUACUGUGUAAAUAAAAAGCAACAAUGACAAAACACCAAUAGUGGAUUCAGUUGUAUUUUGACUCACUUGCUUCUCAAAAUAACCACAAGGGAAAAGCCAGGCAGAAGGCUAAGUACUUACUCAGCUCUCACCGCUGGCCAGUGACGGAGCAAGGACUCUGAGCGGCUGCUUCCAGGCAGACGUGCCCUUGACCAGCUGGGGCUCUGAGAAACCUGACAACCUGCUCUCCAGACAGACACGCCCCAGUCGGAAGCAUGUGCCAAAUCCUGCGGUGUAAACACUUCCGGCUCCCAACCUGACAGCACCGGCUCAGCCAGGAAGAGAUCGCUGUGCGCUGUGUGACGACGUGUUUCCACCAGACACGCGCUAUACGGGCAGCCAGCUGGGACUUCCGCCUCCAGAGGAACAGGUCAUCUUUCUUUCCCAUUCCUGACUUCUCUGCCCUCACCAUCUCAGGAGUAAUAAUAAAAAUACAUUUUAAAACUCUCAUCUUCCUAAGGAGAAUAAUGCAGCAGCCUUUGAGUUCCUAUUUCGUGCCAACGCAGUCUCUCUCCGACUCACGGUAGCUGUGCGUGUGGCUUAUCAUGGAAAUGUAGCCCCCCUUCAAAAGGGCGUUUUGUGCCACCUCUGGAGGCUCUUUCUGCGCAUUUUGCAGUGGUCCGUCUCGUGAGAGUCAGUAACAGGAAUGACUGCCUUUAACUCACGGAGCUGUGUCCGCAUCACGUGAACCCUCCUUGCUAUGGGUUAUCCUGUGUGGGGGCUUCCUGGCGGGGGAGGAGGUGACGUGUCAGAGUUGACAGAAAACUUUUGAACAGGAUGGUAUCUCGGCUCCGCUUCUUACAGCCCCAGAGCGCCUUGGUCGUACCUGCUUGGCACUCCAAGAAGAUGCUCUUUUAAGAAAGUGUUCUGUCCCCUUUAAAAAACUUACUGAAAACAUAGAGCAAAAUAUUUAAACCAUUGAAAGAAAAGAGAAAUCAACCUAGGAUUCUACAUAGAGUGAAAUUUUCCUUCAAAAGUGAGUGAGAAAUAAAGACUUUCUAAGACCAAUAAAAACUAAGAUAAUAGGUUGUCAGUAGAUCUGCCUUUUAGGAAUGUUUAAAAGAAGUUCUUCAGAGGGAAGGAAAAUGAUACAGGUCAGAAAGUUGGGUCUGCACAGAGGAAGAGAAUUCUGCGAAAAUAACGGUAAAAUAAAAUCUUCUAUUUAACGUAUUCUUAUUGA